rnacentral:rRNA from 1 species
UGGCGGACGGGUGAGUAACGCGUGGGUAACCUGCCUCAUACAGGGGGAUAACAGUUGGAAACGGCUGCUAAUACCGCAUAAGCGCACAGUACCGCAUGGUACGGUGUGAAAAACUCCGGUGGUAUGAGAUGGACCCGCGUCUGAUUAGGUAGUUGGUGGGUAACGGCCUACCAAGCCGACGAUCAGUAGCCGACCUGAGAGGGUGACCGGCCACAUUGGGACUGAGACACGGCCCAA